rnacentral:rRNA from 1 species
AGUGAACGCUGGCGGUAGGCCUAACACAUGCAAGUCGAACGGCAGCACAGUAAGAGCUUGCUCUUACGGGUGGCGAGUGGCGGACGGGUGAGGAAUACAUCGGAAUCUACUUUUUCGUGGGGGAUAACGUAGGGAAACUUACGCUAAUACCGCAUACGACCUACGGGUGAAAGCAGGGGAUCUUCGGACCUUGCGCGAUUGAAUGAGCCGAUGUCGGAUUAGCUAGUUGGCGGGGUAAAGGCCCACCAAGGCGACGAUCCGUAGCUGGUCUGAGAGGCUGAUCAGCCACACUGGAACUGAGCCACGGUCCAGACUCCUACGGGAGGCAGCAGUGGGGAAUAUUGGACAAUGGGCGCAAGCCUGAUCCAGCCAUACCGCGUGGGUGAAGAAGGCCUUCGGGUUGUAAAGCCCUUUUGUUGGGAAAGAAAAGCAGCAGGUUAAUACCCCGCUGUUCUGACGGUACCCAAAGAAUAAGCACCGGCUAACUUCGUG